rnacentral:rRNA from 1 species
UACGUAGGCAGCGAGCGUUGUUCGGAGUUACUGGGCGUAAAGAGUGCGUAGGCGGUUUUCUAAGUUUGGUGUGAAAUCUCCCGGCUUAACUGGGAGGGUGCGCCGAAGACUGGAAGGCUUGAGUAUGGGAGAGGUAAGCGGAAUUCCUGGUGUAGCGGUGAAAUGCGUAGAUAUCAGGAGGAACACCGGUGGCGAAGGCGGCUCUCUGGACGGAUACUGACGCUGAGGCGCGAAAGCGUGGGGAUCAAACAGG